rnacentral:rRNA from 1 species
CACCGCGGUUAAACGAGAGGCCCAAAUUGAUGCUCACGGCGUAAAGGGUGGUUAAAUCAAAUAAUGUUACUAGGACCGAACUUACCCUAGGCUGUUAUACGUUUACGGAGUAGUGAAGCCCAUAAACGAAAGUCGUCCUAAGAAAUUGAAUCCACGAAAGCUGGGAAA